GACGAACGCUGGCGGCGUGCUUAACACAUGCAAGUCGAACGGAAAGGCCCUGCUUUUGUGGGGUGCUCGAGUGGCGAACGGGUGAGUAACACGUGAGUAACCUGCCCUUGACUUCGGGAUAACUUCAGGAAACUGGGGCUAAUACCGGAUAGGAGCUCCUGCUGCAUGGUGGGGGUUGGAAAGUUUCGGCGGUUGGGGAUGGACUCGCGGCUUAUCAGCUUGUUGGUGGGGUAGUGGCUUACCAAGGCUUUGACGGGUAGCCGGCCUGAGAGGGUGACCGGCCACAUUGGGACUGAGAUACGGCCCAGACUCCUACGGGAGGCAGCAGUGGGGAAUAUUGCACAAUGGGCGGAAGCCUGAUGCAGCAACGCCGCGUGCGGGAUGACGGCCUUCGGGUUGUAAACCGCUUUCGCCUGUGACGAAGCGUGAGUGACGGUAAUGGGUAAAGAAGCACCGGCUAGCUACGUG
rnacentral:rRNA from 1 species